CCUGACAACACCAGCUGCUGCCAACGCAGUGUGUGUGUGUGUACUCAUUUGGAGGGCAUAGCGGGGGCAGUGCUACAGAUACAGAUAAUCCUCACACCUCACUGCUGCUGCUGCUGCUGCUGCUGCUGCUGCUGCUGCUUCUCCUGUGGCUGCUGCUGCUUUUUUCCUCUCUGGUCUUUGUAAACAUUUCAUCGUGGUCCUGCUCCUUCUCUUCUCCUGUACACGAUCACAGGUGAUUCAAGUCUGUUCCACAGUCCUGACUUGAUUUUAAAGCCAUGGAGACACAGAAACUCCAGACCAUCCAGUCCAGACCAGGACCAAACCCCACACGUGGUCCAGACCAGGAACACGCCACACACGUGGUCCAGACCAGGACCACACACUGCAUUCACAGCAGCUCCUCCUCCAUCUCACAAACUUCUGGUUGGUUCUGCUGAGCAUCAGAGAAAGAAGUCUGUUCCAGAGGAAGUCGACCACAUGCAGGAAAUGGAUGACAACGCAGGGCAUUGCAGAUCUAUUACCGGCCUUUGGUUCCACCUGUCGCUGCCUCAUGGUGGACAGACACUGAAGUAAAGGGCAGAGUAAGGGGAGGCGUCCAAGAACCUGACACUCAUGACACGAACACUGCCUCUGGCUUUUGUCUGCAUCAGGAGCCGCUGACGUUUGGUAUUUGUUAGGAAAGCAUUUGUUUACAGAGUAAAAAGACUCUGUCUGCUCUAAAUCUAACUCUCUACUCUGUAUUUACAAUGUAUCUAGUGUAUUUGACAGUUUAUUUACAGUGACAUAUAUCACAGAUAUGUGAUCUGUAUCAUCAGCAUCACCUGUAUCAUCAGUAUCAUCAGCAUCAUCAGUGUAUGAUCAGCG